AGUCAUUCAUUUUUCAAAAAUCACUGAUCAGUUAAUCCAAAGGCAUCCUGAAACACCAAAGACGUGUUUCUGUGGCUGUUUUGGGAACAGAAGUAUGUAUUUCUUUGGGGAUUACUUGUCUUUUCAGCUGAGUUGAGAACUUAAUGGUAGUUUCCCUUUGAUCCCAAAAGAGUUCAUGCUGUUCUUGAAGACAGGGAUGUGUUUUACUCACGCUUCCUUUUUGCCCCUGUCUAGCUCACUCUAGCACAGUGAUGUUAUAGGACAUCAUAAAUGUUUACUGUUCAGUUGGAUUGGACUGAAAUACUGACAUGAAAAUGAAGGAGGGAUCAUUUUACUUGUUUUUCUGUCAGGGUUUGCAUUAUAUGCUGUGAAGAUUGGUAGGAGUAGCCACAGGAAAAUCAUUGUAGAAAAUGAGAGAUUAUCCUGAGGUUAAUGAGUGAUAGGGAAUUAUCUUAAGAAAUAACAAUGAUCAUAUUAAUGGCUGACAUUUCAUUGUCUCAUUUAGCUAUUAUCCUAAGAAGAAGGUACUAUAAUCCCCAUUUUACAGGUGAGGAUACCCAAAACUGAGUGAGGUUAAGUAACUUGUCAAAGUCAUGCCGCUUAUAGAUGCACACCUGGAAUUUGGACUCAGUGGUCUAUAAUAAUUGUUCAGAGUUAAGGCUGUGCAGUCAGAUGGCCAGGAUUUCAAUCCCUGCUUCUCCACCUACCAGCUGAGUGACCUCUGGUAAGUUACUCAACUUUUGCCUCAGAUUUUUUGUUGUUUUGUUUUUCUGAGAGUAAAACAAAUAGUGAACCUACCUUAAAGGCCUGCUGUGAAGAGUACAAUAUAUAAUAGAGUUACCUGUAACUUAUUUCAUACAUAAUAACUGAAAUAAGUGCUUGAUACAUGUUGGCUGCUGUUGUUGUUGGCAGUUAUUAUUUCAGACAAAGCAUAUCAUUCUUUCAGUCGCUAUGCCCGUCUUAUCAAGUCUCGUGAUAUUUUUGAGAGCAUGUUAAACUUAAAAUAGUUUAUUGUACUUAACUUUUGUUGUUGUUAUUAACUUACAUGGAUUAUUGAGCACUUAUUCCACGUUGGUGUUUUUUGGUUGUUUUUAAUCUUCUAUGACUAUUUAAAGUUAAUUUGGGUAUCUUUUUAACCUCCAAAGUCAUUUGGGCAUCUGCUGUAUGUCAUGCACCCAUACAGGACCUGGAUAGAGGGAUGAAUACAACAGGACUCCUGUGUUGAAGGAGCUCACAGUUUAGAUGGUGGGAGUUGGGUGAGGAGGAUAAGCAGAGGCCUGUGCAGCUAAGUGUGAUACGGUGUGAGGAGUAGCACAGAAGAGAGUAGUUAGGUUAGUUUUCAGCAGAGGAAACAGCAUGAGCAGAGAUCCAGGAACUUAGAGUUUAUGAAGCAGUGAGAGAUAAGAUAUGAAAAGUGGGUUCAGGCUCGGUCAUAAACGGCCUUGAAAGCUUGCAGGGAACUUUGGCAGUGUGAAGCCAUAGACGGUUGAAAACAGGGACAUCUCGUUAGAAUUGUGCUUUAGGAAGAACGAUAAACAUGGUUAGAAAGAGAAAAGCCUAGAGGCAGUUAGGAAGCUCCUACAGUAAUCCUAGAAAGGUUAGUACAGUGGGGAUGAGAGAUGACAUGAGGGGCAUUUGGGAUUCAAAUUGAACAAAUAUUAAUUGUGUACCAAUUUUGUACCCAAUCCUAUGUUAGGCUCUGGGUUAGAGAUACUAAGAAGAAUAUCAUAUAGCUCCUGCCCAGGAUCUAAUGGUGAUGCAGUAGGUACUGGAAAACAAACAAAAAAAAGCUAUUAAAAGAUGAUUUUGAGGUGGGUAGUCCCUAGUUGUCAGGUACUUGGCCCUGAGGUGAUUGAGGGCAGGAGCCUGAUUAAAGGAUUGGUUGGUCUGCAUGUCAAAGGCAUGCUGUCAGGCUGUUUGCCAUCUCUAGGAAUUAGCUAACCCUGGGAGGGGCAGGCCCUCCCUGGGUCCACAAUGCCCUAAGAUGUCAGUUUCAUAAAAUACAGAAAAUAGAAAAUAUGACUAAUGUACUACCUGGUAUCAUUAUCUCUUCUAUGUUUAUAGAACCCAUACUUUAUUGGGAGUGACUGUGCACAGUUCAAAUACCACAUUUGCUGUUCUUUGCAUUUGAGGGUUGCCAAAAGUCUAUAGGCAGAAGUCAUUGGUGGAGCUUCCAGGGAAGUUCCUUAGGUGAGCUGACCCUGUUGGGAAGCUCAUCCUUUGUGCUUCUCCAAACUUAUCCCCUAGCUGGUUUUUCUUUUCUGAAAUUGGACAUGAUGGCUGAAUCUCCAGUAGCCACCCUGGACCAUGUGGCAAUCUGCAGGAUGGAAGAUAGAAGAAGCUGGGAUCUGUGACCAUCAUGGAACCACUGUGCCAGUUCUGGAUAGUCUACCUCUGGACUGUUUUUGGGAGACACAAAUAAACCUCUACCUUGUUUAAGCCA